rnacentral:rRNA from 1 species
AGAGUUUGAUCCUGGCUCAGGACGAACGCUGGCGGCGCGCCUAACACAUGCAAGUCGAACGAGCGAGAGAGAGCUUGCUUUCUCGAGCGAGUGGCGAACGGGUGAGUAACGCGUGAGGAACCUGCCUCAAAGAGGGGGACAACAGUUGGAAACGACUGCUAAUACCGCAUAAGCCCACGGGUCGGCAUCGACCAGAGGGAAAAGGAGCAAUCCGCUUUGAGAUGGCCUCGCGUCCGAUUAGCUAGUUGGUGAGGUAACGGCCCACCAAGGCGACGAUCGGUAGCCGGACUGAGAGGUUGAACGGCCACAUUGGGACUGAGACACGGCCCAGACUCCUACGGGAGGCAGCAGUGGGGAAUAUUGCACAAUGGGGGAAACCCUGAUGCAGCGACGCCGCGUGGAGGAAGAAGGUCUUCGGAUUGUAAACUCCUGUUGUUGAGGAAGAUAAUGACGGUACUCAACAAGGAAGUGACGGCUAACUACGUGCCAGCAGCCGCGGUAAAACGUAGGUCACAAGCGUUGUCCGGAAUUACUGGGUGUAAAGGGAGCGCAGGCGGGAAGACAAGUUGGAAGUGAAAUCUAUGGGCUCAACCCAUAAACUGCUUUCAAAACUGUUUUUCUUGAGUAGUGCAGAGGUAGGCGGAAUUCCCGGUGUAGCGGUGGAAUGCGUAGAUAUCGGGAGGAACACCAGUGGCGAAGGCGGCCUACUGGGCACCAACUGACGCUGAGGCUCGAAAGCAUGGGUAGCAAACAGGAUUAGAUACCCUGGUAGUCCAUGCCGUAAACGAUGAUUACUAGGUGUUGGAGGAUUGACCCCUUCAGUGCCGCAGUUAACACAAUAAGUAAUCCACCUGGGGAGUACGACCGCAAGGUUGAAACUCAAAGGAAUUGACGGGGGCCCGCACAAGCAGUGGAGUAUGUGGUUUAAUUCGA